UCAAUUUAUUAGCAAGGCAUAACUACAAACAUAUGUAAUUAACAACAGAACCCCAAAAUACAUGAAACAAAAAAAUAACAGAAUUGAAGAGAGAAACAGACAAUUAAAAAAUAACAGUUGGAGACUUAAAUAUGCCACUUUUACUAAUAAAACAAAUAGGCGGAAGAUCAAGAGGGUAAUAAAAGACUUGAACAAUACUAUAAUCCAAUUAGACCUAACAGAUUUUUAUAGAACAUUCUACCAAACAACAGUAUAAGAUACAUUUUUCUCAAGUGGGAAUGGAACAUUUCCAGGAUAGACCAUAUGUUAGGCCUAUGACAUAUGAGACAAAUCUCAAUACAUUUAAAUUGACUGCAGUAAUACCAAGUAUUUUUCUCCAACUAUAAUGGAACAAAAUUAGAAAUAAACAACAGAAGGACAUUUGAGAAGUUCACAGAUAUGAGGAAAUUAGACAACACACUCCUAAAUAACCCGUUGGUUAAAGAAAAAGUCACAAGGGAUAUUAUAAAAUACUAUGAGAGGAAUGAAACAAAUAUACAACACACCAAAAUUUAUGGGAUGUAACUAAAGCAGUGCUGAGGAAGAAAUUUAUAGUUGUACAUACCUAUAUAUAUUAUAUAACUACACCUACAUACAUAUAUGUAUGUAUGUAUGCAUAUGUGUAUCAAGUGAUCCUCCUGCCUUAGCCUCAGCUGGGACUACAGGUGUGUGUCACCAUACUCAGCUAAUUUUUUUUUUUUGAAAUGGGAUCUCACUCCAUCACUCAGGCCAAGAUGCGGUGGCACAAUCUCGGCUCACUGCCACCUCUGCCUCCUGGGCUCAAGCAAUCCUCCCACCUCAGCCUCCCCAAGAAGCUGGGAAUAGAGACAUGCUCCACCACCCCCAGAUAAUUUUUUCUAUUUUUGGUAGAGAUGGGGGUCCCACCAGGUUGCCUAGGCUGGUCUUGAACUCCCAUGCUCAAGUGAUCUGCCUGCCUUUGACUCCCAAAGUGUUGGAUGAAAGGCGUGAGCCACUGCACCCAGCCAAAUUUUUAAUUUUUUUGUUUUCUAGAGAUGGGGUCUUGCUAUGUUGCCCAGGCUGCUCUCACAUUCCUGACCUCAAGUGAUCCUCCUGCCUCAGCCUCCAGAGUAGCUGAGAUUAUAGGCACAAGCCACCGUUUAAAUUUUUCUAGUUUUACAUGUGAUUUCCUCUUUGAUGAGUAGGUUUAGAAGUGUGUUGUUUAUCGUUUCUCGGCCUUUUGGCUAAGAUCAAGUGUAGAAGUGUGUUGUUUAAUUUCCAAAUAUUUGGACAUAUUUGGGGAAUUAGACUUGACUUAAAAUUGAGUUAAACUUGAAGUCAAUAAUACAUAGUUGGAAAAUCCCCAACUAUGUAUUAUUGACUUCAAGUUGUAUGACUUGUAUUGACUUCAAGUUGUGUGUAUUGUUGACUUCAAGUUGUAUGUAUUGACUUCAUACUUGUAUGAUUUCAAUUCUUUAAAACUUGUGGAGUUGUUUUUUAAUGACCCAGAAUAUAGUUCAUAUUGUUUGAAUGUUUCAAGCACUUCACAAAUAAUAUAUUCCCCUAUUGUUGGGUAUAUUGUUCUAUAAAUAUUCAUUAGGUCAAGGUGGUUGACAGAGUUGUCAGGUCUUCAAUAUCUUUAUUGAUUUUCUUUCUAGUUCUGUUACUUAAAAUGCUCAAGUCUCUAGCUAUAACUGUGGAUUUGUUUAUUUCUCCUUUCAGUCCUGUCAGUUUCUAGCACCUCUGUUGUUAGGUACGUACAUAUGUAGAAUUGUUAUACCUCUUUGUGAAUUAACAUCUUUAUCAUUAUGUAAUGUUCCUUUUUAUCCUUGGUGACAUUCCUCAUUCUAAAGUCAACUUUGGUAGUAAUAUAGACACUCUAGCUUUCUUUUGAUGAGGGUUUGUGUAUCUUUCCCUUAGCAUAAUGUUUUUGAGGUUUAUCCAUAUGGUAGCCUGUAUCUGUACUUCAUCUUUAUGGCUGAGUAAUGUAUCAUACGUAUAUAAUCAUUUUGUUUAUCCAUUCAUAUAUUGAUGGGUUGUUUACACCAUUGGGUCAUUGUGAAUAGUGCUGCUAUAGCAUCUGUGUAUAAAUUUUUGUGGAUGCAUGUUUUCUUUUCUCUUGGGAAGACAGCUAGGAAUGGAAUUGCUGGGCUAUAUGGUAAUUCUGUUUAUCUUUUCAGGAACCACCAAACUCUUUGUCUACAGUGGCUGAACCAUUUUACAUUCCCAUGAGCAAUGUACAAGGUUCCCAUUUUCAGGCUGGGCGGGGUGGCUCACGCCUGAAAUCUUAGUACUUUGGGAGGCCAAGACAGGUGGAUCACUUGAGAUCAGGAGCUCAAGACUAACCUGGGCAACAUGGCGAAACCCCAUUUCUACUAAAAAUAUAAAAAUUAGCCAGAAAAAAAAUUAGCUGGGUGUGAUGGUAAGCACCUGUAAUCCCAGCUACUCCAGAGGCUGAGGCAGGAGAAUCACUGGAACCCAAAAGGUGGAGGUUGCAGUGAGCUGAGAUAGCACCACUGCACUCCAGCCUGGGUGACAGAACGACACUCCAUCUCAGAAAACAAGAAGGCUCCCAUUUUCCAGCAUCCCCAACACCACUUUUUUUUUUCUGUAUUUUUUGUUAUAGCCAUCCUUCUGGAUGUGAAGUGGUAUCUCACUGUGAUUUGGAUUUGCAUUUCUCUGAUUGCCACUGUCUUUCUGCUUCCAAGAUCCUCUUUUCAGUUUUGGACAGUUUAUAUAUGUCUCGACAUGGAUCUUUCCUGACUUAUCCUAUUUGGAGUUCUGCAAACUUCUUGGAUGGGUACAUUCAAGUGUUUUCACAAAUUUGAGGUGUUUGGGGCCAUUAUUUCUUCAAAUAUUCUUUCUGCCCCUUUCUCUCUCCUCUCCUUCUGAAACUCCUAUUUUGCAAAGGUUGGUAUGCUUGGUGGUAAUCCAUAGCUUUCUUAAAUUGCUUCUUUCCUUUGUUCUUCUGCUCCUCAGAUGGAUAAUUUCAAUUGAUCUACCUUCAGCUUCACUGAUUCUUUCUACUGUCUGGCCAUAUCUGCUAUUAGAACCAUUUUUUCCCCCUUUUUUUUAUUGCACUUUUCAGCUAAUUUUUAUGGUUCCUUUUUAUAAUUUCUUUGACAAUCUCUAUGAGACAUUGUUUCCCUGUAUUCCCUUAGCUCUUUGAGCACUUUUGAGACAGUUGAUUUACAAAUUUUGUCUUAAAGUCCAAUGUCUAUGCUUCCUCAGAUAGUUUAUUCUAAUUUUUUCUGAGUGGGCUAUACUUUCUUUGCAUGCUUCACAGUUUUUUGUUGAAAGCUGAAUAUUACUUUACUAUUAACUCUGGAAACCAGAUUCUUCACUCCUCAGGGUUUUUGUUACUUGCUGUGGGUUGUAGUGGUUUGUUUAGUGACUUGUAUAUAUUUAGAGACAAAGUCUCACUCUGUUCCCGAGGCUGGAAUGCAGUGGCGCAAUCAUAGCUGACUGUAGCCUCAAACCCCUGGGCUCAAUCAAUCCUUCCACCUCAGCCUCCC
rnacentral:lncRNA from 1 species